rnacentral:rRNA from 1 species
CCUACGGGGGGCAGCAGUCGAGAAUCAUUCACAAUGGGGGAAACCCUGAUGGUGCGACGCCGCGUGGGGGAAUGAAGGUCUUCGGAUUGUAAACCCCUGUCAUGUGGGAGCAAAUUAAAAAGAUAGUACCACAAGAGGAAGAGACGGCUAACUCUGUGCCAGCAGCCGCGGUAAGUCAGAGGUCUCAAGCGUUGUUCGGAAUCAAUGGGCGUAAAGGGUGCGUAGGCUGUUUCGUAAGGCGUGUGUGAAAGGCGCGGGCUCAACCCGCGGCCGGCACAUGAUACUGCGAGACUAGAGUAAUGGAGGGGGAACCGGAAUUCUCGGUGUAGCAGUGAAAUGCGUAGAUAUCGAGAGGAACACUCGUGGCGAAGGCGGGUUCCUGGACAUUAACUGACGCUGAGGCACGAAGGCGAGGGGAGCGAAAGGGAUUAGAUACCCGGGUAGUC